AUACGUAGGUGGCAAGCGUUGUCCGGAAUUAUUGGGCGUAAAGCGCGCGCAGGCGGUCCUUUAAGUCUGAUGUGAAAGCCCACGGCUCAACCGUGGAGGGUCAUUGGAAACUGGGGGACUUGAGUGCAGAAGAGGAAAGUGGAAUUCCAAGUGUAGCGGUGAAAUGCGUAGAGAUUUGGAGGAACACCAGUGGCGAAGGCGGCUUUCUGGUUUGUAACUGACGCUGAGGCGCGAAAGCGUGGGGAGCAAACAGGAUUAGAUACCCUGGUAGUCCACGCUGUAAACGAUGAGUGCUAAGUGUUAGGGGGUUUCCGCCCCUUAGUGCUGCAGCUAACGCAUUAAGCACUCCGCCUGGGGAGUACGGUCGCAAGACUGAAACUCAAAUGAAUUGACGGGG
rnacentral:rRNA from 1 species